rnacentral:rRNA from 1 species
UACGUAGGAGGCAAGCGUUGUCCGGAGUUACUGGGCGUAAAGGGCCCGCAGGCGGUGGAGUAAGUUUGGAGUGACAGUUCCCAGCUUAACCGGGAAAGGACUUCGAAAACUGCUCGACUUGAGGACUGGAGAGGAAGGCGGAAUUCCGGGUGGAGCGGUGAAAUGCGUAGAGAUCCGGAGGAACACCGACGGCGAAAGCACUCUGCUGGGCCGACACUGACACUGAGAGACGAAAGCUAGGGGAGCGAAUGGGA